rnacentral:rRNA from 1 species
GAUGAACGCUAGCGGGAGGCUUAACACAUGCAAGUCGAGGGGCAGCACGAGGUAGCAAUACUUUGGUGGCGACCGGCGCACGGGUGAGUAACGCGUAUGUAACCUACCCUGUACAGGGGGAUAACCCGGAGAAAUUCGGACUAAUAUCCCAUAAAGAUAUAAGAGGGCAUCCUUUUGUAUUUAAAGCUCAGGCGGUACGGGAUGGGCAUGCGUAACAUUAGCUAGUUGGUAGGGUAACGGCCUACCAAGGCUACGAUGUUUAGGGGUCCUGAGAGGGUGAUCCCCCACACUGGUACUGAGACACGGACCAGACUCCUACGGGAGGCAGCAGUGAGGAAUAUUGGUCAAUGGGCGCAAGCCUGAACCAGCCAUCCCGCGUGCAGGAAGACGGCCCUAUGGGUUGUAAACUGCUUUUCCAGGGGGUGGAAACUCCCGUACGAGUACGGGACUGACGGUACCUUGGGAAUAAAGCAUCGGCUAACUCCGUG